GGAGGACCGAACCGACUACCUUUGAAAAGUUAGCGGAUGACCUGUGGAUCGGAGUGAAAGGCUAAUCAAGCUCGGAGAUAGCUGGUUCUCCUCGAAAGCUAUUUAGGUAGCGCCUCAUGUAUCACUGUAGGGGGUAGAGCACUGUUUCGGCUAGGGGGUCAUCCCGACUUACCAAACCGAUGCAAACUCCGAAUACCUACAAGUGCCGAGCAUGGGAGACACACGGCGGGUGCUAACGUCCGUCGUGAAAAGGGAAACAACCCAGACCGUCAGCUAAGGUCCCAAAGUUAUGGUUAAGUGGGAAACGAUGUGGGAAGGCAUAGACAGCUAGGAGGUUGGCUUAGAAGCAGCCACCCUUGAAAGAGUGCGUAAUAGCUCACUGGUCAAGUG
rnacentral:rRNA from 1 species